rnacentral:tRNA from 1 species
GGAACUGUAUUUAAAAAAUAUAAAAUUUAAAUUGCAAUUAAAAAUUGUUGAAAAACCAGCUCCA